rnacentral:rRNA from 1 species
GACGAACGCUGGCGGCGUGCUUAACACAUGCAAGUCGAGCGGUAAGGCCCUUUCGGGGGUACACGAGCGGCGAACGGGUGAGUAACACGUGGGUGACCUGCCCUCAGCUCUGGGAUAAGCCUGGGAAACCGGGUCUAAUACUGGAUAUGACUCCAUGACGCAUGUUGUGGGGUGGAAAGCCUUGUGCGGCUGAGGAUGGGCCCGCGGCCUAUCAGCUUGUUGGUGGGGUGANGGCCUACCAAGGCGACGACGGGUAGCCGGCCUGAGAGGGCGACCGGCCACACUGGGACUGAGACACGGCCCAGACUCCUACGGGAGGCAGCAGUGGGGAAUUUGGACAAUGGGGCAACCCUGAUCCAGCCAUUCCGCGUGAGUGAAGAAGGCC